CAUUGGUCCCCUCGCAAUGAACUGUUGUUUACUCCGUCAGGCCCGGAAGGGAGCAGCGGCAGCAGCAAACUCAUGUGCCGGGGUGUGGCUGGUGUGG
rnacentral:SRP_RNA from 2 species